GUCCACGCCGUAAACGAUGAGUACUAAGUGUUGGGUGUCAAAGCUCAGUGCUGCAGUUAACGCAAUAAGUACUCCGCCUGAGUAGUACGUUCGCAAGAAUGAAACUCAAAGGAAUUGACGGGGGCCCGCACAAGCGGUGGAGCAUGUGGUUUAAUUCGAAGCAACGCGAAGAACCUUACCAGGUCUUGACAUCGAUCUAAAAGGCUCCAGAGAUGGAGAGAUAGCUAUAGAGAAGACAGGUGGUGCAUGGUUGUCGU
rnacentral:rRNA from 1 species